rnacentral:tRNA from 1 species
AUUAGCCCCAUCUUGGCAGAUUAAUAAUUGCAAAAGACUUAGAAUCUUAAUAACUCCUA